rnacentral:rRNA from 1 species
UACGUAGGGGGCAAGCGUUGUCCGGAUUUAUUGGGCGUAAAGCGCGUGUAGGCGGCCAGAUAGGUCUGCUGUGAAAACUCGAGGCUCAACCUCGGAAUGUCGGCGGAAACCCUCUGGCUAGAGUCCGGAAGAGGAGAGUGGAAUUCCCGGUGUAGCGGUGAAAUGCGCAGAUAUCGGGAAGAACACCCGUGGCGAAGGCGGCUCUCUGGAACGGUACUGACGCUGAGACGCGAAAGCCAGGGGAGCAAACGGG